GAUCCCGUGGUGUAACGGUUAUCACUCUGGACUCUGAAUCCAGCAAUCCGAGAACAAAUCUCGGGGGGACA
rnacentral:tRNA from 1 species